CUGGCGGGCAGGCCUAACACAUGCAAGUCGGGCGGUAGCACAGAGAGCUUGCUCUCGGGUGACGAGCGGCGGACGGGUGAGUAAUGUCUGGGAAACUGCCUGAUGGAGGGGGAUAACUACUGGAAACGGUAGCUAAUACCGCAUAACGUCGCAAGACCAAAGUGGGGGACCUUCGGGCCUCAUGCCAUCAGAUGUGCCCAGAUGGGAUUAGCUAGUAGGUGGGGUAAUGGCUCACCUAGGCGACGAUCCCUAGCUGGUCUGAGAGGAUGACCAGCCACACUGGAACUGAGACACGGUCCAGACUCCUACGGGAGGCAGCAGUGGGGAAUAUUGCACAAUGGGCGCAAGCCUGAUGCAGCCAUGCCGCGUGUAUGAAGAAGGCCUUCGGGUUGUAAAGUACUUUCAGCGAGGAGGAAGGCAUUAAGGUUAAUAACCUUAGUCGAUUGACGUUACUCGCAGAAGAAGCACCGGCUAACUCCGUGCCAGCAGCCGCGGUAAUACGGAGGGUGCAAGCGUUAAUCGGAAUUACUGGGCGUAAAGCGCACGCAGGCGGUCUGUUAAGUCAGAUGUGAAAUCCCCGGGCUCAACCUGGGAACUGCAUUUGAAACUGGCAGGCUUGAGUCUUGUAGAGGGGGGUAGAAUUCCAGGUGUAGCGGUGAAAUGCGUAGAGAUCUGGAGGAAUACCGGUGGCGAAGGCGGCCCCCUGGACAAAGACUGACGCUCAGGUGCGAAAGCGUGGGGAGCAAACAGGAUUAGAUACCCUGGUAGUCCACCGCUGUAAACGAUGUCGACUUGGAGGUUGUUCCCUUGAGGAGUGGCUUCCGGAGCUAACGCGUUAAGUCGACCGCCUGGGGAGUACCGGCGCAAGGUUAGAAGCUGCAUUCGAAACUGGCAGGCUUGAGUCUUGUAGAGGGAGGUAGAAUUCCAGGUGUAGCGGUGAAAUGCGUAAGAGAUCUGGAGGAAUACCGGUGGCGAAGGCGGCCCCCUGGACAAAGACUGACGCUCAGGUGCGAAAGCGUGGGGGGAGCCAACAGGAUUAGAUACCUUGGUAGUCCACGCUGUAAACCGAUGUCGACUUGGAGGUUGUUCCCUUGAAGGAGUGGCUUCCGGAGCUAACGCGUUAAAGUCGACCGCCUGGGGAGUACGGCCGCAAGGUUAAAACUCAAAUGAAUUGACGGGGGCCCGCACAAGCGGUGGAGCAUGUGGUUUAAUUCGAUGCAACGCGAAGAACCUUACCUACUCUUGACAUCCAGAGAACUUAGCAGAGAUGCUUUGGUUGCCUUCGGGAACUCUGAGACAGGUGCUGCAUGGCUGUCGUCAGCUCGUGUUGUGAAAUGUUGGGUUAAGUCCCGCAACGAGCGCAACCCUUAUCCUUUGUUGCCAGCGAUUCGGUCGGGAACUCAAAGGAGACUGCCAGUGAUAAACUGGAGGAAGGUGGGGAUGACGUCAAGUCAUCAUGGCCCUUACGAGUAGGGCUACACACGUGCUACAAUGGCAUAUACAAAGAGAAGCGACCUCGCGAGAGCAAGCGGACCUCAUAAAGUAUGUCGUAGUCCGGAUUGGAGUCUGCAACUCGACUCCAUGAAGUCGGAAUCGCUAGUAAUCGUAGAUCAGAAUGCUACGGUGAAUACGUUCCCGGGCCUUGUACACACCGCCCGUCACACCAUGGGAGUGGGUUGCAAAAGAAGUAGGUAGCUUAACCUUCGGGAGGGCGCUUACCACUUUGUGGAUUCAUGACUUG
rnacentral:rRNA from 1 species